GACGAACGCUGGCGGCGUGCCUAAUACAUGCAAGUAGGACGCACAGUUUAUACCGUAGCUUGCUACACCAUAGACUGUGAGUUGCGAACGGGUGAGUAACGCGUAGGUAACCUGCCUAUUAGAGGGGGAUAACUAUUGGAAACGAUAGCUAAUACCGCAUAACAGUAUGUAACACAUGUUAGAUGCUUGAAAGAUGCAAUUGCAUCGCUAGUAGAUGGACCUGCGUUGUAUUAGCUAGUAGGUAGGGUAAAGGCCUACCUAGGCAACGAUACAUAGCCGACCUGAGAGGGUGAUCGGCCACACUGGGACUGAGACACGGCCCAGACUCCUACGGGAGGCAGCAGUAGGGAAUCUUCGGCAAUGGGGGGAACCCUGACCGAGCAACGCCGCGUGAGUGAAGAAGGUUUUCGGAUCGUAAAGCUCUGUUGUUAAGGAAGAACGAGUGUGAGAAUGGAAAGUUCAUACUGUGACGGUACUUAACCAGAAAGGGACGGCUAACUACGUGCCAGCAGCCGCGGUAAUACGUAGGUCCCGAGCGUUGUCCGGAUUUAUUGGGCGUAAAGCGAGCGCAGGCGGUUAGAAAAGUCUGAAGUGAAAGGCAGUGGCUCAACCAUUGUAGGCUUUGGAAACUGUUUAACUUGAGUGCAGAAGGGGAGAGUGGAAUUCCAUGUGUAGCGGUGAAAUGCGUAGAUAUAUGGAGGAACACCGGUGGCGAAAGCGGCUCUCUGGUCUGUAACUGACGCUGAGGCUCGAAAGCGUGGGGAGCGAACAGG
rnacentral:rRNA from 1 species